CUUCAUCAACAACAAUUAAUUGGGCCAUGGUCGAAAUGAUGAAGAAUCCAAGUGUUUUUUCCAAAGCUCAAGCAGAGGUAAGAAAAAUCUUGAGAGGGAAAGAAACUUUUGAUGAAAUUGAUGUCGAGGAGUUCAAAUACCUAAAGAUGGUCAUUAAAGAAACUUUUAGACUCCAUCCUCCACUACCUCUUUUGCUUCCAAGAGAAUGUAAAGAAGAAACAGACUUAAACGGCUACAUUAUUCCAUUGAAAACAAAAGUCGUGGUUAAUGUUUGGGCAAUGGGAAGAGAUCCAAAAUAUUGUGAUGACGUAGAAAGCUUUAAACCUGAGAGAUUUGAACACAACUCUAUGGAUUAUAUUGGUAAUAGUUAUGAAUAUAUUCCCUUUGGUAUCGGAAGGAGAAUUUGCCCUGGAAUAUCAUUUGGUUUAGCAAAUGUUUAUUUUCCACUGGCUCAACUGUUGUAUCACUUUGACUGGAAACUCCCUACUGGAAUCAAUCCAAGUGAACUAGACUUGAUUGAGGCGGCUGGAGCAGCAUGUGCUAGAAAGAAUGACCUACACUUGAUCGCUACUCCUUAUCAACAUUGUCACGAGUGAUCUCAUGGCG
rnacentral:lncRNA from 1 species